GUGGGGAAUAUUGGACAAUGGGGGGAACCCUGAUCCAGCCAUGCCGCGUGUGUGAAGAAGGCCUUUUGGUUGUAAAGCACUUUAAGCGAGGAGGAGGCUACUUUGGUUAAUACCUAAAGAUAGUGGACGUUACUCGCAGAAUAAGCACCGGCUAACUCUGUGCCAGCAGCCGCGGUAAUACAGAGGGUGCGAGCGUUAAUCGGAUUUACUGGGCGUAAAGCGUGCGUAGGCGGCUUUUUAAGUCGGAUGUGAAAUCCCCGAGCUUAACUUGGGAAUUGCAUUCGAUACUGGUUGGCUAGAGUAUGGGAGAGGAUGGUAGAAUUCCAGGUGUAGCGGUGAAAUGCGUAGAGAUCUGGAGGAAUACCGAUGGCGAAGGCAGCCAUCUGGCCUAAUACUGACACUGAGGUGCGAAAGCAUGGGGAGCAAACAGGAUUAGAAACCCGGGUAGUCC
rnacentral:rRNA from 1 species